rnacentral:lncRNA from 1 species
AUCAAGCACACUUUGUACUAAGAGGAAUAAAAUCUGCAAGAAAUAUGUAUGAAUCCAGUCAGUGGCGGAGCCACUCCUAGACCUGGAGUGGCCCUAGCCCCCCUAUUUUUUUUUUUAUCAUUCCUCUAUUAUAUUAUAUAUAAUAUAUAGAAUUUAUAAUAAACAACUUAGAAUUUAAGUUAAAAUUUUCUCUAAAACAAAUUAUACAUGACUCAAUUAGAAAUAUUUAGC